rfam:Gavia stellata contig106407, whole genome shotgun sequence.
CCAAAGGCUCUUUUAAGAGCCACUACGUGCACAAUGAAAAGAGCUGU